rnacentral:rRNA from 1 species
AUUGAACGCUGGCGGCAGGCCUAACACAUGCAAGUCGAGCGGAUGAAGGGAGCUUGCUUCUGGAUUCAGCGGCGGACGGGUGAGUAAUGCCUAGGAAUCUGCCUGGUAGUGGGGGAUAACGUCUGGAAACGGGCGCUAAUACUGCAUACGUCCUGAGGGAGAAAGAGGGGGAUCUUCGGACCUCAUGCUAUCAGAUGAGUCUAGGUCGGAUUAGCUAGUUGGUGGGGUAAAGGCCUACCAAGGCGAGGAUCCGUAACUGGUCUGAGAGGAUGAUCAGUCACACUGGAACUGAGACACGGUCCAGACUCCUACGGGAGGCAGCAGUGGGGAAUAUUGGACAGUAGGCGAAAGCCUGGUCCAGCCAUGCCGCGUGUGUGAAGAAGGUCUUCGGAUUGUGAAGCACUUUAAGUUGGGAGGAAGGGCAGUAAGUUAAUGCCUUGCUGUUUUGACGUUACCAACAGAAUAAGCACCGGCUAACUUCGUG